GGAAUCUUGCACAAUGGGCGAAAGCCUGAUGCAGCAACGCCGCGUGCGGGAUGAAGGCCUUAGGGUUGUAAACCGCUUUCAGCAGGGAAGAAACUGACGGUACCUGCAGAAGAAGGUGCGGCCAACUCAGUGCCCGCAGCCGCGGUGACACGUAGGCCCCAAGCGUUGUCCGGAUUUAUUGGGCGUAAAGAGCUCGUAGGCGGUUCGGUAAGUCGGGUGUGAAAACUCUGGGCUCAACCCAGAGAGGCCACCCGAUACUGCUGUGACUCGAGUGCGGUAGGGGAGCGGGGAAUUCCUGGUGUAGCGGUGAAAUGCGCAGAUAUCAGGAGGAACACCAGUGGCGAAGGCGCCGCUCUGGGCCGUAACUGACGCUGAGGAGCGAAAGCGUGGGUAGCAAA
rnacentral:rRNA from 1 species